UUCAAGUACGGAACAUCCAAAUCACCGAGAUAUGCCUCAAUUUGGUGGUGUUUCAAGAUAAAAAUAAACUGAAGCAACGGAUUUCGAGUACUCAAAUUGUCAAAACAAAGCACGAGAUCUCAAAUUAUCAAUUGUUGGGGCAAGAAGAGAGUCAUGGCCUGGUAUACGCGCGUGACCUCGACAGCCUCCACCUCUCAGCCUCGCUGAGCUGCACGCACGCUCCUCGGCAGGUCUCCGCGCGCCACCACACUGAGUCCAGCACCACGCGUUGCGCCGUCCUCUCCCCGGUCCAGCUCCGCAUUCCGCCUCCGUUGCGGCGCGGCUCUUCUUCUCCAUGCCCGUCAAGGACGGCGUCUCCAUGCCGAUAGAGAUGGCCUGACCCCAGCGCCCGCUACCAGGGUGGAGCUCCUCCAGCCGCUGCUGCUUCCGCACGGAGGAAUUGGAGUUGUGGGGCGGCCGCGUUGUUGUCGGAGGAGUCCAGGGCUUCGACCAUGCCGGACGCUUGAGGUGCCGGCGGGCGGCGGGGUCUUCAACUUGGCGCCGAUGGACGAGCUUCCCGACGGCGGAGCGGUGGACUCGCGGAUGGGAGGUGAGCCGAAUCACUCGCCACCGACGCCUUGUGCAGGCUGCACAAGCCGGGAACGCAAAUGAAUCUUGUUCCCAGCAAUCUGGACCGCCCCUUUUGCAUACCGUAAGCCAUACCAAUCAAGUCUAACCUGCAGUAUACACUAUAGUAUUGCCCUCACUUUGUUCCUUGUCCCUCCCCUUCUCUUUUUCACUCUCACAUGAUUGUAGACUGUUAGGAUCAGAAGUCAGGAGCCAGUUUGGUAGGGCUCUAGGAACAGCUCUGGAGCCGUUUUUACCGAAGCUGUGCGAAAGAGAAAAAAGCAAAUGGCUUCGGUGGUGAAACCGGGGAGAAGCUCCUCAGUGGCUUCCACUAGGAGGGAGGAGCAAAAAAUUAUGACUCCUACCGGCUUCACCUCCACCUCCUAUGGUUCUUGGCAAGAAUACCCUUGACUAGCGGUGAAGGGAGGAAGGCAACUGCUGACGGCAUGUGCACGGCGGGGGCGCUUGCGCGGCUGGGUUUGAGAUGAGCGGCAACGACCGCAGCGCCGACGCAACACAUCGAUGGGGCGCAGCGGUGGAGGAGACUGGAUAUGCAAUGCGCGGUGCUGGACAGGUGUGGCUGGGCAUAGCGAAGCGCGCCGCUCACGGUGGGGAACGGAGGAAGCGAUGCAUCGAGAAGAAAGAGAUGAAUGAGAGGGGUGACGUGUGGUUUUGGUGGACCGGUUCCUUUGGAUAAGGAAGAAAACAAAUAAAGGGCCACACGAUAAGCGAGGAAAAGAAGGUGAGAAAAGAGAAAAAUAAAAAAGAGGAAAAGAGAAAAAUAUAAAAAUAAAAAUAUAAAGGGAAUGAAAAUAGAAAAAAGAAAUUAUUAGUUAAUCUAUAUUAUUUUAAUUAAUCAUUUUUGUUUCAAUUGAAACCACACUGUAAAUUGAUUAAAAUCAUAAUGCAAAAUAGUCAGGGGUAUAAUGGACAUUUGACAUCUUUAUCAACUCAUGGCAAAACAUGAGGAGCCAUUUUACCAAACGGUUUACAAAACGGCUCCAUCUACAUAACAGAAGUCGCUCCACCAGAGAAGUUAGAGCCGGAAUCGUUUUAGGAGGAGCCGGAGUCUUGCCAAAUGAGCCCUGGAUCUUUCUCGUAACCGUAGAGCUAUAUUAAUGAAUGGGUUUGCUCUUGCCAUGCUAGAUCCAAUUGGACAUUUUUCCUUGUUAUGUUUUUAAAUGUAAUAUUUUAUUUUUAGUUGCAUUUUCCUUUAAUUGUUUUUUUAAAAUAAUUGUUUGGCUCAAAACUUAUUUAAAAUUUUUAUAAUCUAUGUUGGGGAGAAUAUAUUUUUUAAAAGAUGGAUGUUUCUAUAAUAGAAAAGUUAUCGAGGGGAAACUUUUCAAAAAGAAAAGCCAAGAUUUGUUAAAAUGAUUUGGGAAAAAUAUUUUCUGAUUUUUUUUGAAACGUUUUGGAGAAAAGUUUGGCCUAAAUUUUUUUUGGAAAUGUUUUCCAAUAAAGGGAAGAUGUAGAGGAAAAUUUUUUGAAAAAAAAGGAAAUGAGGGUGGUUAGUAAAUCAAGCAUGAGUUGGAUAGUUGGCCAAGUGUAUGAAUAGUUUGGGAUGUAUAGGUAGCAUGCUACGAUGAUUUGUAAUACUGGAUAGUCUGUUUUCAUUUGAGGUUUCAAAAAUCUCAAAACGAUUAUUUUUUGAACAUGUUUUAUGGAUAUUCAAAUUAAUCACCACUUCUAUUGCCCGAAAACCAUCAGAGUCGAUGAUUUUGGGUCUCUUUCGGUUAACCUUGAAAUGUACAAGCAAACUCUCUUGAGGAACACAGGAUUGCAAAAUAGAUGAACAACAUAUAGCAUAUAACAUUUGUUUGGCCUGCAAGCUUUGGAAGUGGCCUUCUUAAUAAUCAAGGUAAAUUUUGAUCAACUCAACAAAGUUUCAGUUGCUAGACUAUCUGAUAUCGCGGCCGGCAGUUAAUUUCUCUCUCCUUAUUGUUGACAGGGUUGGUCUCUUCUUUUGUUUUCUGUAGUCAUCUAGCUGUACUUGCUUAUAUCUUCUAAAAAAAUUUCUGAGCAAAGCUGUGGUCACGGCACGGUACCGGACAACCCCCGCGAUACGUACAUGCGCGCAGCGCGCGUGGCGGCCGUGCCCAAACGUUUGACCAAGGGCUGCUGCUGCUUCCAAAUCCUAAGCAUAACAAAGAUCGCAAAGUACUACAGAAAAACGAAGACGGAUUCAAAGCCGUCCAGAAUUCCUGACCACCCAAGCGCGUCGCUCACGGCUCACCGACGCAAAAACGCGUACCGCAGCGUAGCCAGGAUUUUUUAUAGAGGGGGUCAUAAACAAUACUUAAUAGAUUACGUGUAGGAUAGACUACAUGUUUUUAUCAAGUGCACAAACAAAAAAAUAAUCAAUAUUUAUUCAAUCAAUCACUGUUUUGCGUGCUUACCUACUUAGAAAUGUAGUAGUAAUUGGUAUAUAUUUUGCAUGUUUGCACAAACAUUGGGGUCCAUGGCCCCUGCCAGCCCCUCCUUAGCUACGCCACUGGUAGGGGUGGUAAAGGUUCUCUAAUUUAGUCUAGCAAAUUUAAGGAUCAAGCUUAAUAAAGAUCAAGCUCUAAUAUUAUAUGAUUUUGAAUUAAAAAUAAAUAGGACUGAGUUGGAUUGUGAAGGAAGUAUGAAGGCUCGAUCCGUUACCACCCCUUCGUACCCGUCUAUAUAUUGGGCGAUCGCU
rnacentral:lncRNA from 1 species